rnacentral:rRNA from 1 species
UACGAAGGGGGCUAGCGUUGUUCGGAAUUACUGGGCGUAAAGCGCGCGCAGGCGGUUCUCCAAGUCAGUGGUGAAAGCCCGGAGCUCAACUCCGGAACUGCCAUUGAAACUGUUGAACUUGAGGACGAGGGAGGUGAGUGGAAUUCCCAGUGUAGAGGUGAAAUUCGUAGAUAUUGGGAAGAACACCAGUGGCGAAGGCGGCUCACUGGCCCGGUACUGACGCUGAGGUGCGAAAGCGUGGGGAGCAAACAGG